CAUGUUGGUGUUUAAUGGGGUAUAAAUAUUUUAACUGAGUGUUUUCCUGUCCCUGCUGGUGGCAUUCAGAGUAGUGAUACAUUUUACAAAAGGGUUAAAGGAAGUUUCUGUUAUAUGUUUGACUACUGUACUGCAUUACAGAAAUGUAAUUAUUUAACUUUUUACAUGUCUUUUGUUUGUUAAUUAUCAAAUAAUUCAGUUUUCUUUGAUGUAGUCUUACCUCAUGCUGUAUUCUGAGUUAUAGAAAUUGACCCACAUUUAUUCUGUUGUGUUUUUUUUUUUAACCAAGAAUUAACACAUAUAUCCUAAUUUAAAUAAGCUAAAUUUAAGAUACCUGGGUAGUCCUUGUAAAACUCUAAAUUUUUAGCACCAAAAUAGGAACUGUUAGGAUGACACUAUGAAAGCUAAUAAAUACAUGUGUUUAUAUACACAUAUUGCAUUUUGAAUAUAGUAUAUAUGUGUGUAUACGUAUAUAUUUUAUCAUGCUACCCUCACAUGUAUCUUCACAUUAGUAUAAUUUCAGCUGAAUUGGGGAACAAGAUGUCGGAAGGCAUGGCACGCUGAAACGUGAGCAUAGACGGUACAGAAGGAGUGACCCGGUGCAGGAGGCUCAGGCCGCAGACGCCUCACACGCCUCUGGGCCUCUGCAGUGUGCCAGGCUCCCUGCUUAUCAGGAACACAGACGUGAGAACUUAACUCUCUCAAUUCUGUUAACUUUUUAUUUGGAAGUUAUUUCAAAAUUAGAGAAAUGUUGUGAGGAUACAAAUAGUGCACAGGACACUCACAUAUCUUGUAGCCGAUGUCUUUUUACCCCGUUUUAUCACAGGUGCUUUCUCUCCGUAAUACUUUUUAACUGCGUGAGGGUGAGUCACUGCAGGGCUUUUACUUCCAAACACACCAGUGGGUGUUUCCUGAGAACAGGAAUAUUCUGUUUCAUAACUGCACGACAAUUACCAGCUCUAGUAAUUUGAACAUGGAUACAAUACUUUACUGGUGACUUUUUUGUUUGGAGAAUGAUGACGACUUUAGUCUUAAACUGGUCUCAGGCUCUGCUGGUGAGGGUGUCCAAUGGUCAGUUGGAAAUGCAGGACAGAGCCAGGGACAGUAUCUGAAGCGAUGCUAUUAUUUUGGAGCUAUCCACACAGAGAUGAUUGUUCAAGACGAGAAUGCUGAGAUCCCUGAGAAGAGAGCAGAAGUGGCAAAGAGAGGAGGGCCUUGUACCUUGAUAGUUAAAGAAAGAAAAAACACAACGCAAGUAACAUAUGAAAGAAUAAUAGUACACUGACAAGAGAAAAUGUUUUAAGGGGAGGAAAUGGUUAACAAUGCCACACUGAAGGGGGGUGGGGGGGAGGGGGGAUCCUGAGAAGGGACAGCCAGAUCUGGCCAUCAAGGGGCAGCAGUUUGGACAACCAUGAACUCCAAAGCCUGACUGAGGGGGUUAGCAAUGUAAGUGAAGGGGGAGGAAGAGGCCGGGAGGGCAGAGGGGUCACUGGAGUGGGCCCGCUGUAGAGGCAGUGAGAAGAUGGGGGUGUGGGGUCACUAGGCUGAGGGGCCCCACAACUGUCCUCCUAUAGAACCCUCGCUCUGUCAUCCUAGUGUGGAGGCAUUUCCCUACUCUUUCCUGAAUCUUUCAAAUCAUUCAACGGUCACUUGUAUCCCAGGAGCAGGUGAAAGGAUGAAGGGGUACUUUUCCCUGAGUCAGACCCCCAGCCUCACAGCUGAGGCUCUGCCGGAGAACAGCACCUUAUCUGCACCACUGUGUGAUCUGAAGGGACGAGGGUGACUCAGAUCCAACCCUCGAGCAUUCAGCCCUCACGAGGGAAUGCAGAGGCACAAAGCAGCGCCUCAGAACGGAAGGAGUGCAGAAAAACCAAGGAGACUUCAGUGGGAUUUUUGUGGUUUUCUCCUUUGUUUUUCUGUUUCCAUCUCCAAGAGCCUCUUGCUGCCAAAUAUUUUUUUUUAAAUCCUCCUAUUCAUCAAGGGCAGCAUCUCAGCACUGCUGAGGGCCUCACACUUGGCCAACACCGUCACCAGGAAGCUGUGAACCACCAGUGCCAUCCAUGCAGGGGACCUGACUGUUAGAGGCAGAAUUACAGGAGGACACGAGACUGAUGCUCCCGGAGUGUCACUUCAGACGGGCGGAACUGGCUCACCCUAAACACAACAAAAUGCCAGUGAUACACAGAAACGUCUCUAAUAAAAAUUACUUUGUCCACUUUCCUAAUCUUCAAGCCACCACCUUGGCCCUAAAGCAAACUUGAGACAUUGAGCCUUGAGAGUUAUUUAUAUAACAGUCUGCGAGAAGCUUUAUUUUCUAUCCUCCAUUCUUUCUUUUUCCUUCCUUCUUCAGCGGGAUGUGGGUUUCAGCUGCCUAAACAAUAUAGUCCAGUGUUUUGUUUAAGGCUGAUAUAAUUUGGCUUUCCUUACUUUUUUUUAAUAUUCUAUUUAGUUUGGGGCAAUGCAAUGAGUAGACUGAUGAGUUUUCAUAGGGGUAUGCCUGUAUUUGAUGUCAGAUUUUAUGCUUUUCCCCCCUACACAUUUCUUCUUUGUGAAUUUGCCAUCUGGAGGAUGGCCGCGUCAGAACGCACUCACCUCAUCUAAUGCCAGUCUGCAGAGCUGUGCGCGCCCUGGCUCCCGAUGCGAUAACAUGGCAGCUCUCAGCAAGGGAACAUUCUUGAUUCCUGAGACAGGGAACGGAGCCAGGCACUUGUACGUUUGUUUUCAAAUGAACUGGUUCUUAUGCUGUAAAUAUUUAACUAUUCCUUGUAGUACUCCUACCAAAGUUUCCACUAGGUUUUCAGCUAACACCAUUUCCCGCAGGCAGAAAGGAUCUCUCACUUUCCAGAACCCUCUUUAAGCAAAUAUAGGCUACAUUUGGGGAGUUUGGUUUGAGAGGGAACAAAUUAGGGGAAAAUAAUAGGACCUAGAAGGCAUGUUUUUCCCUUGAUUGAGGUGAGGAGGCCAUAGGGAACUGAGUCAGCAAAGAAUAAUGGAUGUAAUGGAAAAUCUUACUGUUGGUCCUGAAUAUUUUUAUUGUCUCCUGUGCCAUCUUUGCUAAAAUUGUGGGUGGUGAUGGCUAAAAGCAAAGGUGUUUCUUUUCUCUCACUGUAUGGUUUUGAGAAUCAGACGGAGGGACAUUACGUGUUAAGGCUCCAGAAGAGGGCCAGGUGGUCUCGUCCCGGUGAUGAAAAUAACUCACGUCAGUUUUCUCUGACCUCUGAGUUGUCUGGCUUCUUGGACAUGCAUUUCUCACUGACAUCUGCUCUCAGAAAGAAGCUUGAGGAAUGCAUUAGGCAGAAGAUUUUGAUUUACAGCUCCCCUCUGUUUACUCUUUUAGUAAUAUAUUUGUUUAUUUGGGCAACAGAUCUUAUAAGAUGUACUUUAUGCUUUUGGCUUCUUUUAUGGCUCUUCUUUUGAGUGUGGCUAUUUUGCCACACUUAAAUGAAUUGUGAUUUUUUUCUUGUCCUUCCUUUUCCCCCUUUUUCCCCUUCCCUCUCUCUUUCCUCCCUUCCUUCCUAUCAUCUCAAGUCUGUGGACAGAAAGGCAAGAAGUCCACCAAAGUCUGAAUGUCUAAGCUUAUCACUCAGAACACUGUCUUUCAGAAUGUCUCAUGGCAUUUAGACCACAAAUAACUGUUUGGCUCAAAGACCACAAGCAUGAGUCAAAUUGGAAACUACCUUGCAGAGCCAAGUCUGCCUGGUCAAUUAGCAGUUUAUAAAACUUGACUCCUAGCAAGGAAACUAAUUGCCAGGGGGCCCAAGGAAAGCGCUGGGCUGGCUCAGAAGCUUUCAUUUACACUGUGGCCCAAACGGUGACCUGGACCUUUUCAAGGAGUUAGCAAGAGCAUUCUGUAUUUCCCUCAUCCAACUUAUAGAAAUAUUUUUUUAGGAAAGGUGAUAUUUGAAAAAUUAUUAUUCAGCUGAAUAUUUUUUAAAUGAAGUCCUUUUUUCCCAGAUACCUGACAAGCAUGAUGCAGAACUACUUUCUUUCAAGAUUAAUUGUGUUUCACAAUCUUCUGCCUCUUUUCUGGUCAGCUUCAAAUUUGCAGGAAACACCAAAGCAUGUUUUUCAGCGGUGUGAGCUGAGAGUGCGGAACUGAAAGAACACUCUUGGAACGUGAAAGAAGGACCUUACGGGCGAAAUAAAGCAAAUAAAUUUCCUGCACACUCUGUUGUGCCCUAAUUGAGAACUCUGUAUUUUCUUUCUAAAGCACUCAGUGGAGAGAGUUUUAGUCCAAUUCGGAAACUCCUGUUUAGUUUUGUUUUUCAUCCCAACAUGUUAGUAUUUAUGAUUCAUGUAUGUGGAUUUUAAAUUUAGCUUAUUUCCAUUUUUCUAACCAAAUAUUUAAAACGUCUAUUAAUGUUGGAGAGAAACAGGCAUUCUAAAAGAGUAACUGCUAUUUUUAACACAAAAAUAAAAUGAUCAUAAAACCUUUGCAUUUCCUCUUUGUUUCUCAUUAAAAUGCCGGAGUGGAAAAAACGAUUCCUGGAGUGCUCUGUGUUCAGACACUUCAGCGCGCUGAGCGUCUGUCCUUGGCUCGUCUGGGGCCACCUCUCUGUGACCAUUGUUUUGAGCUUGCUGAUGGAGGUUUUCUUCUGGAUGCUGUGCCUGCCCUUGGCCUUGUGGCUUUGACACUGAAGCACUGUUGUCUGCAAAAGACUGUAUUAGAGCUCCAGGGUUCACUCAGCUCCUGCUUUGCUGCUGUAACUUCAUUCUUGGGAAGUUUGUGAGUUUCCCAGGAGAUGAGGCAUGAGCAGCAUUUGCUCCAUGCCUGGAGUCCUGUUUUGUUAUUCGGGUUUCCCGGAGUGGGUGUGGGGCAUGAGAAUCCUCAGCCUGGACGGUUACCACUACAAGUCAAAAUGAGUGCCGUUCGCCCUGCCUUUGUCACUUUUUUUUUUUUUUUUGGUAAAGGGUGGUUAUUAUGCUGUUUUUAAAGUUGAGCCCUGCUUUCAAAAGCCAAACAGAAACUAGAAUGAAAUGUCUGAGAUAAAUUAGUUUGUUAAAAGCACAUCUGAACUAAUAUGGAAUAUGAAUUUUACAUAUUUCAAAUGUCCCUCGAAUCUUUUUUGGCUUUAAUAAUGCUGAACAUUGAAAACAUUGUUGAUUAAAGUUCAAUGAGAUGACAAAUUUGCAAAAGUAUUUGAGGUAGUGUGUAAUGGAUUUUAAUAUUUUUUUCUGAGUUACAGGGAGUAACAGCAUGUGAUGCAUUUUUUUACCUUUAUGACCUAUUGUUCAUCUUUACCUUAAAUGCAAUGAUAUUACAUAUUACAUUAUUAUUAGCAGUGAAAUGGCCCCGUUAUGCAAAGCUGCAGUUUUAUUUCUCAAAAUAAGGUGCAAGCCAACAAUCAUGUCUUCAGAGACUUCUGCCGACUUAUUCUGAGGCUCUAGGAAACCUAAGGUUCAGAUCUUACAGUUAUGUGAGCUGUGCCAGCAACUUGUCUGCUGUGUAGAGAGUCUAUCCAGUGUAGUGCUAUUGCUUUUUUGUUUGUUUUAAUAUUUUCCUCUAUUGUUUGUAUUCUGUUCAUGGUGAUGGAAGUGACAAGGGUUUAGGAAAAAUGUCUGUUUUAAGCUCUCUGAAAGUCAGCUGCCAUCAGCAAACUUUCUAAGGUUAUUCACAUAGCCUGUGACUGUCAGAAGUUUAAGGACAUAUACAUUCUUCUGUUUUGCAAAAGUCUUCUACUGCCUUUCAUGAACAAUGGUAAUUCAGAUAGAUGAUGGGGUGUUGAUUCCAACCUAUAGAAUCUAUAAAUAUUAGGACCAAGUAAUCUGCCACUGACAGCCUCCCCUUUGGUGGGAAUCUCCUUUCAAAUGAUUCCACUUUCUUUCUCUGUAUUGGAUUACCAGACACUCCAUUUGGAAUUAGAAAUUCUGUUUUAUGGAUAGUUGGACAAACUAAUAGGUCUGUAUGAAGAAGCACUGAAAACAUAGAUACGAUUUCCCCAAAUAAAUGUAGAAAUGGCUUUUAAAAUUUUUUGAAGAUUAGAUAUAAAAAAUGUAGAGCUAAAGUUGGUUUUAGGAAAACAGUCCAAGAAGUGAGCCUACAUCUUUUGUUAGAAUGCUAUUUGGCAACUUCUUCCAACAUUACUAAUUUAAUUGAUUGCAGAUCAGUGAGUUUUCCCCUAUUUUGGAAAUCCAUGGCUCAAUGGAGAAAAUAGUCUUAAAAUCAAAGAAAGCAAUAAUUGCCAUUAUGUGCCAUUACAGUUCAGCGAGCAGGUUAGCUCUCACGAGAUUCUUGAUCAUGGCAGGCAUCGCCGACAAGGGGUUUAUUUGGACAGUGCUCAGUGAAUCCUGGACAGGCGUUUCUAGGAAGUGGAUGCAGUGGGUGCACGGACAUUGGGAUGUUUCUAGCCCAUAGUGAAACUCAUUAUUCACUCAACAAAUAUUUAUUGAAUGUCUGUUGUGCUGAACACAAAACAUACCCAAAU